GAUGUGCAGUGAGGUGGUGUUCUCGAAUGGUUCCGCUAGAAGUGGCUUGGCAAUUACACUUAUUCCAGGACCUUCUUGCCUUGAACAAUGAUGGGACAAACCAAAAAUGGUGCCAAAAGUUUAUUUGAAAAGCGAGGGGAGAAACUGGCUCUGCAGAGUGAACUUGGGCCAAACAAAAAGAGGAGAAGAGGAAAAAGAACAAAAGGAGAAGGACACUCUGAUCUAGAAGACAUAGAGGUCAGCCCAGUGCAUCAGAGGAGACCAGCAACAGCUUGUGGCCCUCUGGUAGGCCAACCCCUCUGGCCUAGUGAGGCAGAGGAGUCCAGCUGCGCAGGUGCCAACACAGUGGUGUUCGUGCUCCCACCUCUCUGAACAAGAGAAAGAAGGACUCUCUGAGGCUCCUAGAUGAAAAUUGAAGCCCACUGGAAAAAUGAAGAAAAUCUCUGUGAUAAAGGCACA
rnacentral:lncRNA from 1 species